CCCUACGGGGGGCAGCAGUGAGGAAUAUUGGUCAAUGGACGAGAGUCUGAACCAGCCAAGUAGCGUGAAGGAUGACUGCCCUAUGGGUUGUAAACUUCUUUUAUAUGGGAAUAAAAUGUUCCACGUGUGGGAUUUUGUAUGUACCAUAUGAAUAAGGAUCGGCUAACUCCGUGCCAGCAGCCGCGGUAACACGGAGGAUGCGAGCGUUAUCCGGAUUUAUUGGGUUUAAAGGGUGCGUAGGCGGGCUGUUAAGUCAGCGGUCAAAUGUCGGGGCUCAACCCCGGCCUGCCGUUGAAACUGGCGGC
rnacentral:rRNA from 1 species